rnacentral:lncRNA from 1 species
GAGCUCGUCGAUGGAUGUGUUGGUGCGAAUAAGCGAGGCGAGGCGAGCGAACCGAGCAAAAGAUGUUCCAAAGUCUGUGCAGCCGAAACUUUUAGUAAUAGCUCGACCUAGCUAGCUGAUGGACAAGUAUUGGCUGCUCGCAGUAGUUCGCGAUACGCGUUUCGUCGUUACGGUUCAGCUUUGAAAAGUUGAAGUUUUGGAGAUCAGUUUAAGGAGUAGAAACUGCAUUUUCCUGGAUGAUUUUCCUAUUGGAGAUAAAGGUGAUGCAUUGAGAGUGUCGAAGGGUAUUCGAUUACCAGACGGGGAAAAAUCUACUGGAAUCCAGUGAAGCGAAGGGUUAAGGACAUCUCGACUGGUUGUCCUAGGAAUCUGUGUAUGGGCUGAUUAUAGAUGGAUAUUGAGCUUUAGAUCUAACACUGGGGAGCUCUCCGAGUGGGUGGUGGGAGAAUUCUAGGGUACUGAAGUGUUUAGUGCUCGGCGAGGAAACGUCCAGCCUCACGCAGGGGUUCGGUCUAGCUCCAGACUGGAGAAAAUCAAUCAUACAGUGCACACCUGGGCACACACUAGGUGUCUGGAAGUGACAUUUUUGCUCGACAUUCACAUGGCAUAGGCUCUCCGAGAGCUACAUAUGUGUGUGCAGCAGUUCGAAUAGUCAAGGUGCUGCUCCCCUUGGAAAGUUGCAAUCCGUGAGGUGAAAGAAGAAAACCCACAACAUCAGUGCUGUAUUUGACCGAAGUACUGCUAUCUAUCUCUCAAAGGGAUCCGGACGUUUAUCAGUGAAACCAACAUCCAACAUCUAGGCCCAAUAGAUCAGUCCCGCCGAAUCAGUGACCAGUUUUUGACAUCCCGUGUGAAUGGAGUUAUAUGUAUACAAAUAUUUAGACAUAAAAUAAGCACAAAUAUGCAAAAGUGAAGAGUUAUUUUUUCUCGUCGCACUAGCUCCGAUAUCUCGCGCUACAUAUACACACGUCUACGGACUCGGUUGACUACGGAUACGUCACACAACCGACGACAAGCAAGCAGCCCAAGAAGUAUUGAAAAAGAAGUCCCACGGACAGAUUGGUGCUGCUGGCUGCUGGUUGCUGCCGUGAGUGGCGAGAGACCUUUUUCUGGUCGUGCUCUCGCGUGCUCUGUUCACAUCUCCGGAUCUCCGGAAUCGCGGCGGAUCAACCGAAUCGGCAAGCUGCUGGGUUUGUUUUGUGUGUAUUCUACUGAUAGCUAGACUAUUACGAAUGAGAGUUUAUCGUGUACACAGGUACGUGAGUGCGUGCAGAACUGUGAAAUUCCGGUGCGUUUCAUAAGACCUCGUAGAUUCUUGGACGAAUCCUCCAAAUCAUCCAUCAAGUGCAAGUGAGCCAAGAUUGUCAGGUGAAAACCGUAUCGUUCAACAGUGGAGUGAGAGUUUCCCUUAUCGAAGCAGCAGCAUCAACGGCGCUUUCGACUUCCAUGUGACACAUCCUGCCUCCUGGUGCUUCCGCCCUCACACCCUUCCAGUACAGUUGGUAUUGUUCAUGGGCGUUUGUGUUGUUCGAUCAGCCCUCGAUGUGCGGUACGACAAUGGCGCAAGUGUCACCCAAAAAUGAGAAAAUAAAUUAAAAUUUUUAAUCGAUGUUUUCCUCGCUUUUCACCAUCCCACCGGGCGUUGUCGUUGUCAGCGCAGUCAUUUAUUGUUGGUCGGAAAAAUGAAAUAAAUGUAAUAAUAAAGAAGAGAAACGAGCGGGAUAAAAUAAAGUAAAAAAAUUGCAUAAGAAUAGCCACAUUGGUGCGUGAAUAAAUGUUUGUUCAAGUGGGCUUUUUUCCGAUGAGCCGGAUGGGAAGGCCUGAAGUCGGAUUUCCAUGCUAAAGGUCUGGAGAUUGGCAGGGAAGGAGAAGUGGAGUGAUGUCCGAGUUGUGAAUAAAAUGUGUCAUCAGAAAUAAAAUUCCACUCGGGUUGUUUGUUUCCACUGGGGGGAAAAUACAGGAAAAAAGUGGAGCUCCGAGUACAGCAAGCCGAUUUGGUGCGAAAAUAUUGUGUUUCGGCUCAAGUGCGACGCGUGUUUUUUGAGUGUUCUACAAGUGUAACGAAAAUAAUUGGCGAUCGUCAUAUUUCUCGCGUAAGGUGUCAGCAGUUUACAGUUUGAUGAAGUGUGUGGUGGUAGAGUUGAACGUGGGCGUGUUUUCAUGCUAAACCGAUCCCGCUAGGGUUGUGUCAGGCUCUUCAGUGGGUCUUGGGGUCCCAAGUGAAGUGGAAAUUCAGGUUCAGCUUCAACCAGGGUGGGCGAACGAGAAAGCCUUCAAAGUGGCCGCGUCCAAGAGAUCCCGGGGCGCCUCGUCGGAAGGUCGCUUGAACACCGCAACGACGACCACGACCGACACCGGGACUGGGACCAGCCUGACCAACUCCCGCCAGGGCUCCGUCGAUGGGGUAAUGCAACGAUGCGGUCUCUGCUCGAUCAUCUCCAGCCUGCUGCGGCGCGCCAUGUGCGUCGGGUCCCGGCGUGGUAGCGGCGAGUCCUACUACCAGGAACUGGCAGAAACUAAUGUAUGUCGGAUGAAGCCAAGUGGUACCAAUACAGCCGUGAGUAAAAUGCGCACUGUCUUGGGUGUUGACGUGUUUCGAUGGAAAGUUUACCCUUUCGAUGUGAUCCGUCCCAUUUUCCGAAGACCCCCUCAGCGAGGGAAAAGUUGUUCAAAAUUCACUCGAUUUCAUGCGGUGAAAUUACCCAGUUGGAUAGAAUUCAACAGGAAAUCUGGGAUAUUCAAACGGCUUUUUAUUCACCUCGAUCAUCAGCAUAUAGCAA